GACCCAUCCAAUCCAUCUACAGAUACAGCACACUGGAUUAAAGGAGCUUGAUAAGAUGUAGCCCUUCUUUCUGGUCUGUCUGGACUGGAUCCAUCACUAGGUCUCUGUCCAUUGAAGAGCAGAGGAAGAACCCUGAACUCCCAGCCUCAUCACUAUCCAGAAACCUGGGACAGUCCAAACAUUCUUCUGAAAGAUGUAACUUGGCUGGAACCAUGCCUCCGUGUAAAGACUAAACACUUAAGGUCCUGCCUAGUACUGGGAAUGUUGUGAUUGUCUACAUUCAGAUCUCUGAAACUACUGGUGUUGGACAAGAAAUCCCAGAAUCCAGUCAAGGUUUCGAUGAAGGAACAGCAAUAUUAUUACAAGUCCAGAUGACUUCUUCCCUGCAGAUCUCGGUGCUGUCAGUGAUAAGCACAGUGAAUGGCUUCACCAAGACAUUGUGGUCAUGGAGAAAUUGUAUCAGGACAACUGGAAUCCAUCAAUGCUGUCUGAUUAUUGCUGGACACUCAAGCGAGAAGCCCGAGACACUGAGUACCAAGAAAACCAUCACGAAACAUUUUUAGCUUAGUUGAACUAUUGCAAAGUGUCAGUGUCGUUAUGUAAUUAAAUGCAUUAUAUUCAAUAAAAGUUAAUUUUUUGUUUCUCCAAGAUCCUACAUGUUACAAUCUGAAAUUAUAUUUGAGUUCAGCUUCAAAUGGUCUAUCAUAAGCAAAAAAAAAUUAUGAGGAAGCAACACUUCUGAAAAAAAAUUGUUGUCCAGCGUUAUCUUUGCUUAGACGUGGGUGUUGUUUGCAAGAUCAGCAUUUGUUAUCCACCCCUAAUAACCAAUGGAACCACUGCAUUCCUGACCUGAUCACAAAGGACUGGCGAUGGGAUGCAGUUCACAGAUUGAUCUGCAGGUGGCAGAGUUCCCAUAAAGCUGUUCCUCUUGACCUUGUUGGUGGAAAAGCUGGGUUUGGAGUUGUGGGAGAAGCUUAGGCAAGUUACAACAGUGUAUUGUGUAUAUGGCACACACUGCAAUCACUUUGCACCAGCAGUGAAGGAAGUAAUUGUUCGGUGUGAUUGAUGGGUUUGCCUAUCAGUGAGCUGCUUUAUCCAGAAAGAUGGUGAGGACCUCAAAAAGAGCAACCACUUGGAUUACAUCAAAUGGGAUAUCACAGUAUCCCCCAAUUACAAUGAGCCUGGGAAUGGAAUUAAUUUUUGAUAGAUUAAUUUUUCUAAUUAGUGCCAUCAGGGAAAAGGUACAGGAGCCAGAAGACACACACCCAAUGUUUUCGGAGCAGCUUCUUUCCCUCUGCCAUCAGAAUUCUGAAAGCUACCUCACGAUUGUACAGUCGGCCCUCCUUAUCUGCGGAGGAUUGGUUCCGGGACCCCCCGUGGAUACCAAAAAACGUGGAUGCUCAAGACCCUUAUUUAAACUGUCUCAAUCCUAUGGUCUUUAGGACCAGUGGAAUCCCGGACCUUAUUUAACCUGUGUGGUGCGGUGGACUUUAGGACCUGGCUCAGUUCUGAAUCCGCAGUGUUUCUGUCCACGAAAGUAAUCACGAUCACGAUUGAAAAUAAAGUGAAAGUAAUAAAGCGAUUGGAAAGAGGUGGAACACCAUCAGUCAUUGGAAAAGUAUUAGGCUACAUCGGUCAACAAUUUGGAAAAUUUUUAAUGGAGCAUUUGAAAGGCCCUGCCCUGAUGAAAGCUACAAUUAUUACUAAGCAACGCAGUGGUUUAAUUAUUGAAAUACGUAUGUUUCUUAAGUGUUUUAUAUGCAUAGAAAGGUAAAAUAUAUACUAUAUACUAAGACAAACGUUUUACUAACUGAGGCUAAAUAAUACCGGAUAUACCUGUUCUGACUUCAAAUCUGACUUAAAGACGGACUCAGGAACAGAAUUCGUUCAUAACCCAGGGACUGCCUGUACUUUUAAAUCAUCUCUAGAUUACUUACAAUACCUAAUACAAUGCAAAUGCUGUGUAAAUAGUUGUUAUACUGUAUUGUUUAGGGAAAAAUGACAAGAAAAUAUAGUCUGUACAAUCUCAAACAACAAGUGCUGGAGAGAGAAUUUCCAGGUUUUCCUGAUCUGCGGUUGGUUGAAUCCACACUUGUGGAACCUGCGGAUAAGGAGGGCCGACUGUACUCUGUUUUUACACUACUUAUUUAUUAUAAACUUCUUAAUGUAGCAUAGUUUUUUUUAUGUCUUGCACUGUACUGCUGCUGCAACACAACAAAUUUCAUGACGUCAGUGAUAAUAAACCUGAUUCUGAUUCUAGUAACACACUUGCCUUCAUUUGAGCUCAGAAAGGAAAUGCUUUCUCCCCAGAUGAACUUGCCUGUUGCUUC